GACGUAGGAGGCCAGCGUUGUUCGGAAUUACUGGGUGUAAAGGGUUCGUAGGCGGUGCGGCAAGUCGGGAGUGAAAUCUCUGGGCUUAACCCAGAGGCUGCUUCCGAAACUGCUGUGCUUGAGUGUGGGAGAGGCGCGUGGAAUUGCAGGUGUAGCGGUGAAAUGCGUAGAUAUCUGCAGGAACACCCGUGGCGAAAGCGGCGCGCUGGACCACUACUGACGCUGAGGAACGAAAGCUAGGGGAGCAAACAGG
rnacentral:rRNA from 1 species